UAGGGAAUCUUCGGCAAUGGACGAAAGUCUGACCGAGCAACGCCGCGUGAGUGAAGAAGGUUUUCGGAUCGUAAAACUCUGUUGUUAGAGAAGAACAAGGACGUUAGUAACUGAACGUCCCCUGACGGUAUCUAAUCAGAAAGCCACGGCUAACUACGUGCCAGCAGCCGCGGUCAUACGUAGGUGGCAAGCGUUGUCCGGAUUUAUUGGGCGUAAAGCGAGCGCAGGCGGUUUCUUAAGUCGGAUGUGAAUGCCCCCGGCUCAACCGGGGAGGGUCAUUGGAAACUGGGAGACUUGAGUGCAGAAGAGGAGAGUGAAAUUGCAUGUGUAGCGGUGAAAUGCGUAGAUAUAUGGAGGAACACCAGUGGCGAAGGCGGCUCUCUGGUCUGUAACUGAAGCUGAGGCUCGAAAGCGUGGGGAGCAAACAGG
rnacentral:rRNA from 1 species